CACGUAUUUAGCCAGGGCUUCCUCCUAUGAUACCGUCAUUAUCUUCUCAUAGGACAGAGCUUUACGACUCGAAAGCCUUCUUCGCUCACGCGGCGUCGCUGCAUCAGGGUUUCCCCAUUGUGCAAUAUUCCCCACUGCUGCCUCCCGUAGGAGUUUGGACCGUGUCUCAGUUCCAAUGUGGCCGUUCAUCCUCUCAGACCGGCUACUGAUCGUCGCCUUGGUAGGCCUUUACCCACCAACUAGCUAAUCAGACGCGAGCCCAUCUUACACCGGUAUCCUUUACCUUUACCAUGCGGUAUUGUGGUCUUAUGGGUAUUAAUCACCGUUUCCAAUGGCUAUCCCCGUGUGUAAGGCAGGUUGCUCACGUGUUACUCACCGUUCGCCACUUUCAUUACCUUCAUUCGUCCGAAAACUCAUUCAAGUAACUCUCGUCGACUUGCAUGUGUUAAGCACGCCGCCAGCGUCGUCCUCGUAGCCAGGACUACAACUACUCCUUAGCGAACUCGACCG
rnacentral:rRNA from 1 species